GAUGAACGCUAGCUACAGGCUUAACACAUGCAAGUCGAGGGGUAACAAGAGAAAAGCUUGCUUUUCUUGUUGACGACCGGCGCACGGGUGAGUAACGCGUAUCCAACCUGCCUAUAACUAGGGAAUAACCUUGCGAAAGUAAGACUAAUACCCUAUGAUUUCCUUUGAUGACAUCAGAUUAGGAAUAAAGAUUUAUCGGUUAUAGAUGGGGAUGCGUCUGAUUAGCUUGUUGGCGGGGUAACGGCCCACCAAGGCAACGAUCAGUAGGGGUUCUGAGAGGAAGGUCCCCCACAUUGGAACUGAGACACGGUCCAAACUCCUACGGGAGGCAGCAGUGAGGAAUACUGGUCAAUGGGCGGAAGUCUGAACCAGCCAAGUAGCGUGCAGGAUGACGGCCCUAUGGGUUGUAAACUGCUUUUAUACAGGAAUAAAGUUAGCCACGUGUGGUUAUUUGUAGGUACUGUAUGAAUAAGGACCGGCUAAUUUCGUGCCAGCAGCCGCAGUAA
rnacentral:rRNA from 1 species